rnacentral:rRNA from 1 species
UUAAAAAGCUCGUAGUUGAAUUUCGGGGUUAGUAGGUUGGUCAUGCCUCUGGUAUGUACUGGUCUCACUGAUUCCUCCUUCCUGAUGAACCGUAAUGCCAUUAAUUUGGUGUUGCGGGGAAUUUGGACUGUUACUUUGAAAAAAUUAGAGUGUUUAAAGCAAGCUAACGCUUGAAUACAUUAGCAUGGAAUAAUGAAAUAGGACGUUCGAUCCUAUUUUGUUGGUUUCUAGGACUGACGUAAUAAUUAAUAGGGAUAGUUGGGGG